GCAUCCUUAGUCAUCAGCUCCUGCCGAGGUGGUUCUGCUGAGGUGGUUCUGCUGUAUCCUCUCCUCUAGUCAUCAGCUCCUGCUGAGGUGGUUCUGCUGUAUCCUCUCUCUAGUCAUCAGCUCCUGCUGAGGUGGUUCUGCUGUAUCCUCUCUCUAGUCAUCAGCUCCUGCUGAGGUGGUUCUGCUGUAUCCUCUCUCUAGUCAUCAGCUCCUGCCGAGGUGGUUCUGCUGUAUCCUCUCCUCUAGUCAUCAGCUCCUGCUGAGGUGGUUCUGCUGUAUCCUCUCUCUAGUCAUCAGCUCCUGCUGAGGUGGUUCUGCUGUAUCCUCUCUCUAGUCAUCAGCUCCUGCUGAGGUGGUUCUGCUGAGGUGGUUCUGCUGUAUCCUCUCUUGAAGGCCCGAUGACUGGAGGGAAACGGGGGUGAGGGUGAUGCAACA
ensembl:lncRNA